rnacentral:rRNA from 1 species
AUCCUGGCUCAGAUUGAACGCUGGCGGCAUGCCUUACACAUGCAAGCCGAACGGCAGCGGGCCUUCGGGGUGCCGGCGAGUGGCGAACGGGUGAGUAAUGCAUCGGAACGUGCCAUUGAGUGGGGGAUAACGUAGCGAAAGUUACGCUAAUACCGCAUAUUCUGUGAGCAGGAAAGCAGGGGACCGCAAGGCCUUGCGCUCUUUGAGCGGCCGAUGUCAGAUUAGCUAGUUGGUGAGGUAAAAGGCUUACCAAGGCGACGAUCUGCAGCGGGUCUGAGAGGAUGAUCCGCCACACUGGAACUGAGACACGGUCCAGACUCCUGCGGGAGGCAGCAGUGGGGAAUUUUGGACAAUGGGCGCAAGCCUGAUCCAGCCAUGCCGCGUGAGUGAAGAAGGCCUUCGGGUUGUAAAGCUCUUUCGGCCGGGAAGAAAUCGCAUGGGUUAAUACCCUGUGUGGAUGACGGUACCGGAAUAAGAAGCACCGGCUAACUACGUG